CAGAAGAGGGUGUUGAACUCCAUGA
rnacentral:piRNA from 1 species